AUGGUGCUCAGCGAUUUGGAUCUGGUGAAGUCAUCGGUUGGCUGGCUGCCAUGGCGGCAUGCUACUCGGCGGCGUGGUCUCGAUGUUGUGGUGGUGAAGCAGCACAAAGGUUGUGGAGGAGCAACUCCACUUUGCUGCUACAAUGUGUAUAGCACAAGUGUUGAAGGAACAACUUCAACGUGCUGCGCUAGAUAUCGCUUUAGAGGCGAAUGUAGGCCGAUAUGGCAGCAAGAGUUCAAUCCAGAACUCCUGGAUCACAAGAUCUACUCCAAGAUCUUAGAUAAGAACAACAAGUUCUAUUAUAGAUAG
rnacentral:rRNA from 1 species